rnacentral:misc_RNA from 1 species
UCUGGAGCAGACUUCCGGGUCGCCCUUAGUUUUGGUAGCAGUCAACGGGGGAUUAGCUCAGCUGGCUAGAGCACCUGCUUUGCAAGCAGGGGGUCAACGGUUCGAAUCCGUUAUUCUCCACUUCAAAAGAGAACAUUGACAAGGCUGGAAGCGAGUAUAUCAUGAGAUAUACAGCGAGAACGAGUAGAAACACAGAGUUUCACAACGAGCAAACCAAAGGCGAACAUUAUCGAACUUGAGUUCGGUUAAGACAUUAACGGAACGACAAGGGCGCAUGGGGGAUGCCUAGGCUCUCGGAGGCGAAGAAGGACGUGACAAGCUGCGAUAAGCCGCGGCGAGGGGCAAAUACCCUUUGACCCGCGGAUUUC